CAGUAGCCGCGGUAAUACGUAGGGUGCGAGCGUUAAUCGGAAUUACUGGGCGUAAAGCGUGCGCAGGCGGUUCGUUAAGACAGAUGUGAAAUCCCCGGGCUUAACCUGGGAACUGCAUUUGUGACUGACGGGCUAGAGUAUGGCAGAGGGGGGUAGAAUUCCACGUGUAGCAGUGAAAUGCGUAGAGAUGUGGAGGAAUACCGAUGGCGAAGGCAGCCCCCUGGGCCAAUACUGACGCUCAUGCACGAAAGCGUGGGGAGCAAACAGGAUUAGAUACCCCUGUAGUUCCUGUCUCUUAUAC
rnacentral:rRNA from 1 species